rnacentral:rRNA from 1 species
AUUGAACGCUGGCGGCAUGCUUUACACAUGCAAGUCGAACGGCAGCGGGGGCUUCGGCCUGCCGGCGAGUGGCGAACGGGUGAGUAAUGCAUCGGAACGUGCCCAUGUCGUGGGGGAUAACGUAGCGAAAGCUACGCUAAUACCGCAUACGUCCUGAGGGAGAAAGCGGGGGAUCUUUGGACCUCGCGCGAUUGGAGCGGCCGAUGUCGGAUUAGCUAGUAGGUGAGGUAAAGGCUCACCUAGGCGACGAUCCGUAGCGGGUCUGAGAGGAUGAUCCGCCACACUGGGACUGAGACACGGCCCAGACUCCUACGGGAGGCAGCAGUGGGGAAUUUUGGACAAUGGGGGGCAACCCUGAUCCAGCCAUGCCGCGUGAGUGAAGAAGGCCUCGG